GAAUUCUUUGAUGCAGACAUUUCAAAUUCUGCUGAUGCAUUGAGUGUGAUGAAGAAAUUGCUGGAUCUCUCUCUCCAGUGUAUUCUUCCUGUAAAUGAAAGACCUGACAUUAGAUGUAUUGCUCGAGAUCUUUCUUCCAUUACUGUAAGAUGAUUUCACAUAUACAUUACAACAUGACAUGAUCUCUUAUUAUUGUUAGGAUUAGAAUGUAUGAUUGUAUGCAUUCAAUUAGAUUAGUUUUCUAUAUCAUUAUAUAUUUAUUUAUUUUGUCUUGUAUUCUUCUCUUCUAAACAUUAUCUGAGGAGAUAUUCUUCUAUUGUAAUUAUAUUUUAAUCAAUAAUUACAAAUCAGGUUUCAUCUGUUGGAUUUUCAUAAGAUUCCUAUUCUAUUCACUUAUGUACAUUUAGACAUUAAAUUCGGAACACUAAUCACCAUCUCAUGGGGAAAGGAAAUGAGAGAAGAAUAGAAAAGCAAUCUUUGAAAAUAUAAAGUUACUCCUAUGAGAGAAAUCACAUAUGUCAAUCAUGUAGUUUCACAGAAGAUAAAUUCAGAAUGUGAGAUGAGUUUUUCUCGAUUAAAAGAUGGGAAAAACCACACAUUGAGCCGAGUGGCAGGCCGAUGUUCUCUUAUAAAGACACGUAGAAUCAACAUGUAAUAAGUAAAGUAGGAAAUACAGAUUAAAAACAAUGUAGGUAAACCCUAAGAUUGAAAGGUAAAUGUUUAUCUAUCAAAAUUUAAAGUUUAGGAAAAGUAGCAUGUUCACUUUGUCAUAUUUUUUUACGUUUUGAAAUCAAUAAAUUAUCUUAUGGUUUCAAACUCAAUUUUUUUUUUUUACAUUUAAACAUUUGUUAUAUUUUUAGACAGUUUAAGGUUUUAAUAUUAUAAAUCUCAGACUCAGAGGUUUUACAGAUAUUAUAAUUUUAUAUAUAAUAUUAUUAGCCUAUUAUUUUAAUUUUUAAGCAGAUAAUAUUAAAUUUUUGUUUAUAAAUCCCUAUAAUAAGCAAAAAAAGAAAGAAAAAAAAGCAAUGAAGAAGAUAAUUAAGAUCAAUAAGAAUUAGUAAGAUCAUUUCCGAUCUGAUCGAGAGAAAAAAGUCGAAUAACACGUACAUGGCCGGAGGAUUCUUAAAAGCAAGGAAGAAGAUUUCCGACAAUCUUCUUCUUUUCCGUCACCGUCUUGCCUUCUUCUCCUCGUCUCCGUUGCAGACGGAAACCAAGUCGCCACCAUCGAUUCCACCUUUCGUCCAUGUUCCCAAACCGUACACAGGGAUCUCCGGAGCUGAGAUUAUGGAGAAAAGAAAACAGUUCCUCGGCUCAUCACUCUACCACUUCUACAAAACCCCGGUGAGAAAAUCUACACCGAUUUCUUUUUUUUUUUUAUAAAAACACCUCGUAUUGUCGGUCGUACCUAUUUGCAGUUAGGUUUCUUUUUUAGGUCAACAUAGUAGAAGGUAAGAUGCAGUACUUGUACGACGAGAAUGGGAAGCGAUAUCUUGAUGC
rnacentral:lncRNA from 1 species